GCGCNGCCUUACCAUGCNAGUCGAGCGGAUGAGUGGAGCUUGCUCCAUGAUUCAGCGGCGGACGGGUGAGUAAUGCCUAGGAAUCUGCCUGGUAGUGGGGGACAACGUUUCGAAAGGAACGCUAAUACCGCAUACGUCCUACGGGAGAAAGUGGGGGAUCUUCGGACCUCACGCUAUCAGAUGAGCCUAGGUCGGAUUAGCUAGUUGGUGAGGUAAAGGCUCACCAAGGCGACGAUCCGUAACUGGUCUGAGAGGAUGAUCAGUCACACUGGAACUGAGACACGGUCCAGACUCCUACGGGAGGCAGCAGA
rnacentral:rRNA from 2 species